rnacentral:rRNA from 1 species
AUUGAACGCUGGCGGCAUGCUUUACACAUGCAAGUCGAACGGCAGCGCGGGGGCAACCCUGGCGGCGAGUGGCGAACGGGUGAGUAAUACAUCGGAACGUACCCAGAAGUGGGGGAUAACGUAGCGAAAGUUACGCUAAUACCGCAUACGUUCUACGGAAGAAAGUGGGGGACCCUUCGGGCCUCAUGCUUUUGGAGCGGCCGAUGUCUGAUUAGCUAGUUGGUGAGGUAAAGGCUCACCAAGGCGACGAUCAGUAGCUGGUCUGAGAGGACGACCAGCCACACUGGAACUGAGACACGGUCCAGACUCCUACGGGAGGCAGCAGUGGGGGAAUUUUGGACAAUGGGGGGCGAACCCCUGAUCCAGCAAUGCCGCGUGAGUGAAGAAGG